AUGCCUAUGAUGAUUAGCUAUGUUGGAAUUACCGUCAGAUAAAUAAUGACGAUAUUUUUUGCGGCUUUCUGAGGUUAAAU
rfam:Triticum aestivum genome assembly, contig: Triticum_aestivum_CS42_TGACv1_scaffold_424525_5BS